UGAAGUUUCCCUCAGGAUAGCUGGAGCAUGCAAUGAAGCUGUUAUAUUCGGUAAAACGCAUAAUUAGAGGAAUUGUUGGACGAAACGUCUUCAACCUAUUCUCAAACUUUCGAUGAGUAUGACAUUUAGCAUGCUUGCGUAAAGCGUAGACAUUGAAUGUGUACUUCAAGUUGGCCAUUUUUGGUAAGCAGAACUGACGCUAUGGAAUGAAUCAAACGUUGAAUAUAAGUCUCCCGCUCAAGUGGCAUCUAUUUUCAGGGCUGAUUAAUUUCCGGGCUAAUUCAUUUUCAGGCUCGUUAAAUAA
rnacentral:ncRNA from 1 species